CCCACCCGGUGGUUCAAGUGUGCUGAGGGGCUGACACAGAAAAGCCGGGAGGCUGCAGGGUGAAGGCUCCAUGGAGGAGGUGGUGCAGGCGCUUUUGAGAGGUAGACCUGACAGCAGAUCCUGAGAAUAUGUGACCCUCCAUGGAGAAAAGGACUUUGCAGGUGUGAUGAAGCUAUGGAAGAUUAUUCUGGAUUAUCCAGGUGGGCUCCACAUAAUCACAAGGGUCCUUAUAAGAGGGCGGCAGGAAGGUCAGAGUGAGAUGUGAUGACUGAAGAAAGAGGCUGGAGGAACGUGAAAAAGAGGCCACAGAGCCAAGGAUGCAGGUGGCCUCCAGAAGCUGAAAAAGACAAAGAAAUGGAUUCUCCCCUAGGGGUUCGAGAAGGAUCCAGCCCUGCAGACACCUUGCUUUUAGGCUGCUUGUCUCUAGAACUACAAGAGAAUAAAUGUGUGUUGUUUUAAGCCA